rnacentral:snRNA from 1 species
AUCGCUUCUCGGCCUUUUGGCUAAGAUCAAGUGUAGUAUCUGUUCUUAUCAGUUUAAUAUCUGAUACGUCCUCUAUCCGAGGACAAUAUAUUAAAUGGAUUUUUGGAGCCGGGAGAUGGAAUAGGGGCUUGCUCCGUCCACUCCACGCAUCGACCUGGUAUUGCAGUACCUCCAGGAACGGUGCACCUCCC